AAUAGAACAUAAGAUAAUUGGACUCACAGCAUGAUUUAUACGUCUUUUUUGUGUCAACAUAUGAGUAGAACAACAAAGAACAAACCUUGACUCGAUCAGCUUCUUAUCUUUGGUAAAAAAAAUUGGCUUCCAUUUGUGGCCAAAUGGGGAUGAAGGAUCAUCAUCUUCACUUGAUGCUCGAGUAUAAAUCAAACCAUGCUUCAUGUUCAAUGAAAUUUGGGUACUUCUCUUUCAUUCUCUCAUAAAUGAUAGGGAUAAGUACUAUAGAGUUUCUCCCCAUCUAUCCAGUUCUACUUCACAAAAGAAGAACAAUUUCGAUAGGAACUUUAUAACCUAAAAGAUAAUAAAAAAAGAAGAAAUUUUUAUACUAUUAAUUAUAAAAUAAACUCAUAAUCAACUUACUACUUAUUGCUCAAAAGCUUUGAUCAUUAAAUAAAACCACAACUGUACCAUCUCAUGGCGGAACUGGUUCUUUGAGUUGGGUGGGCACUCAUUAGCUAUGGAGAUCCAUCCAACAAUGUGGGUCCGAGAGGCGGCCCCAUUAACAUAUAGCAACUCCUUAAAUCCCAAUUCCUCGAUGAUGUCAUUGAAGUCUGAAGUAGUGUUUGUGGGAAAUCCUCUUAAGAGAUCACACCAGUUUUGCGUAGUAAAGAGUCAAGGUAUGGUUGCUUGGUAUUUAUGGUGUCAAUGAGAGCAAAAAAAAAUGAAAGAAAAGAGUUUAGAGAAAGAACAGAAGGGAAGGAAAGGAACUGAAGCGUUUUAUCAUCUCUUUGUUUUAUUAUGGAAGGUCCACAAAAUUGUUUGAGUUCAUUUAAGAAGCCACCUUCACAAAGUUACCAACCUUCAUAAUAAAACGCAAAGAAGAGAGA
rnacentral:misc_RNA from 1 species